rnacentral:lncRNA from 1 species
UACUAUGAAUUUUAACGAUUUACCAUAAAUUAUAGUUAUCUAUAACUCAACGAUACUACUUGAACAUUAAUCAUUGCGAAAGUGUAAAGGUGGAUGCUGAAAAGAGAAGUUUGAUGAAAUAUAACAUGUUACAUAUCAAUCAAUUCAUUUAAAGUCAUAGAUUAAUCCCAUUAAUCCCUAUUGCGAAAGUAUAAAAGUGGAUGCUUCGAAGGGAAUAAGAAAAAAGGAAGAAGAGAAAGGAAGGAACGUGCGAAAUUUGGCGCCCGAUAGCGCCACGACGGUGCAUUCUCAAGGAAAAUAAACCGUUCGCCGUCUGACUAUUUGAUUUAUGAGCGCGGGCGACAACCUACCGCACGGCAUACCGAAAUAGAUCAAGAGGAAAACCAUUGCAAUGCAUGCGCGAGUAGCAUAACGGGAGUGAAAGAAAUGCUAAGAAUCACACAGAAGAAGAGAGAGAAAGAAGGGAAACGAGAGUAUCACGUACAAUCUUACAAGUCUUGAUGUUAUCUCGAACAAGUUAGAUGUAUCGGAUAAUAUCCUGAGAAAAAGGUUCACGUCAUCCACGUAAGGAUCAUUUCGCAUUGCCAACCAUUUUAUAUUGUUUCAUAGAACAAUUAUGACUGCGGGAGAAUAACUUGAGAAUGGUACUUUCCCCCUAUAUCCAUAACCAUACUGUAUCUUUUAAUUGAAUUACCUGUGCAGAUUAAUUUGCGGAGCGAGUUCGUACGUCUGUAGAAGUUGGCAAGGGAAGGAGGGAGAAUGUUGAAAAACGCGGUAAAAGUACUCGACAUGUGACGAACAGACCGUGAAGGAAGGCAAGGUACAUAUACAUCGCGUUACGACAAAUCUACACAGUGACUCAUAAAUACUGAUGAAUCGGAAACGAUGGGGAGAAAGAUGUUGCGACCCUCCUACAGGGAAAUCAAUUAAUCGUUUACAAAGUCGGGGUUGUCCGGUGACGUUAAGACGUAUAGGUGCUGUUCCACGAAACGUCAAAGAAGAAUGAGAAUCAAGGAAGCAAUGUACUGCCUUGAAAGGAUAACACACUCACAUGCAUACCUAUACCUUAGUAUAGCGGUAAUAGAAUUGCUACUGUAUUACACGUUUGAACGAGUGUAUUUUCUUUUCAAGUCAAAUAAUCGAAACGAAGUAAAUGAUUAAAAUUAAUUAAGAAUUCUUUAUCAAGAUGAAAGAAAAUAUCUUAGGUAAAUCACCCCAUAUAUCAAUAUGCACGCAUACAUCGCGUGGGCGCUGACCAUUAAGGUGUCGUUACGACAUCAGUCGCAGAAUACACACGUUUGUAAAUACCACUUUACAUGGAUUACAUUUGAACGCCUGUAUAUUGUACGAUCCAUUCCGUAUUUGGGCUACCAGCGUUAGAGUGGAUCUUCGUACACUGGACAUACAUCACGAACAAGUCCUUAUAUGCGCACAUUGUAUAAGAGAAAAUAGAAAAACACAAGGAAAGAUUUCCAAUCCUUUUUUCACAUUGGAUCAAUUAAUAUAGAGUUUCAGUUCAUCGAACCGAAACUCGAGGGUUCACGACGCUAGUAAACUUUUGUUUGCAUUGAUCCAUAAUUGUUCUGCAGUUUACUGCACAUCAGUAUAAUCGUAUCUCGGGCAAAGUUAACUGGUUUAUUUGAGGAACGCACCCUUUUAAGACCCCUUUCAGUGUUUGUAUACUUCUCCACCAUGACGAGCCGGAAAUGGAUCUUUAUAUCUAACUAGACGAACGUAUGUAAUGAUCAAAGCAAACAAAAAGAAUAAUAAGGGGGAUAAUUCUGGCCAUAUUUUCAUCAUACGGUGCGAUGGUAAAAAGAAUAGGAUGUUUAAUUUUUUGAGUGGGUAGGUCUGCUGAGAUAGAUUAACAUAGCGACGCUGAAUGUUUAGCACAUGCAUUUCCUAUCACGAUAAAAUCGUAAGGAGAGGCCUGCCGCAUUGUUGGAAUACUCCGCUGAAGUGUUUAAACACAAAUGCUUCCAGCGGUGUAACCUCUUUAAUGAAUCUGUAAUAUAGAAGUCCGAAACUUUUAUUUUCGCUUGUAGUGUACUAUGCGGUAGAACAAUGAUCUCUGGCUCUGGCUUAAAUUUCUUCCAAUUCAUUGUUACUUUUAUCAAGGGAUCUAUACAGUUCUCGUUAUUACGACAAGGGAUGUGUCUCCAUCCAGAUCGUUGCAAUCGGAAAUACACCCCGAAUCACCCCCUUAUACUACCAUCCUUCUCUACAUCAAUAAUAGCCACCCGAAAUGCAGUGCUUCUCAACUUUAUCUUUUAAAACACUUACAAAAUAAGCAUUAAUCGUUAGAAAUACUUGUUCACAUACACACGAUGAUAUCGUUCAUACAUUCGUUCGUCUUGAUCGACAUAUAAAGUCUCGACUCUUAAAUGGCUCGUUAUUUAAUUCGAACUUGCGCAGUGAUAAAUGAUUUAAUUAAACAACUACUUACAUAAUAAUUCUACUUAAUGAAAGUAUGUUGCGCAUAACAAAAACAUAAACGAUCUCUGUUUUGCAAUUUGUAACGUUCUCUAUAUGCGCGGCUAUGCGUGUAUACGUAGGUAGAUUUAUAAGAUUUAACAAUCGUAGAUUGAAUUUGUAAUUUUGUUACUCGUUUGACUAAAAAAUUAUAUCAGUACCUUGCAGCUUGAAGUCUAGGCUAUAAGUUUCAAGCAUUUUCAAAGACAUAAUCUCUAAUAUUAAGAGAUUAGCAAACAGAAAAUCGCAGAAUGGUUUCGUAAAUAUUUGCUUACUACUAGAUUAGACGGGAUGCAAACAGUGGUAACUGUAAAACGAUACACAAUGAUGUUUCCCCGUUUCCAUGCUCAUCGAUAAAACAUCAGAUAAGAUAUAAUAAAAUCACUUUGCACUUUUAGCUAUAGAAAUGAAUGAAAAAGUGUUUUCAUAAUAUAUCUGCUAGUGACAACCUUAUCCUCCACGGACAACUACAUUUUCCCUUUCAUACGUGUAAAAAUAAUAUAAAUUAACAUACCUUCAUAAUAAGAACAAGUUAGACUUACCCAAUACGAUGAAUGUCAACAAAGCCAACGGGAUAGGAAGAAUACGCGGCUCCAUUGGGCCAGCGGGUGUCACAGACUCCGACGC